rnacentral:tRNA from 1 species
GCGGCCAUCGUAUAUCGGUAUUACCCGAGCUUCCCAAGCUCGUGAGACGGGUUCGACUCCCGUUGGCCGCUCCA